AAAGAUUAAGCCAUGCAUGUCUAAGUAUAAGCACUUUAUACUGUGAAACUGCGAAUGGCUCAUUAAAUCAGUUAUCGUUUAUUUGAUAGUACCUUACUACAUGGAUACCUGUGGUAAUUCUAGAGCUAAUACAUGCUGAAAACCCCGACUUCAGGAAGGGGUGUAUUUAUUAGAUAAAAAACCAACGCCCUUCGGGGCUCCUUGGUGAAUCAUAAUAACUUAACGAAUCGCAUGGCCUUGCGCCGGCGAUGGUUCAUUCAAAUUUCUGCCCUAUCAACUUUCGAUGGUAGGAUAGUGGCCUACCAUGGUGG
rnacentral:rRNA from 1 species